GACCAAUGCUGGUCUAUGCGACGGAAUCAUAAUCCGCAGGUCCGGGGUUCGAGUCCCUGAUUCGCCACCA
rnacentral:tRNA from 1 species